GCGGAGCGAGGUAUGAUAUGAUGGAGCUGUGUCAUUGGUUCGGACAAUGUGCUCAACUACUACUUUUUGUACACUGGGAGGAUCAAUUAUGUCCAUGGUAAGUGCUGGAUGAGAUGACACAGUGACUGCGGGAUGGCUAGUUCCAUGGUUAGGCUUCUCCUUGGCCAGGUUUUGUGAGUUUGUGUAUUCGAUUUCGUGAGAUGGUGAGUUUCGCGAUGGAAGAGUAGCUACUUGUUCGGUGGUCACAUUCUGUGGUAUGGCUGGGGACAACUGUCCAUCUGGUGAGUAGACUGUGCAGCUAUCAUGUAUUUGAAAAUCCGCUGCAUUUGAGUACUCAAGUCUUUCACCUGAAGACGGGGAUGGCUCAGCAAGAGAAGGACCGAAUUUCAUUUUCAGUAACUCCGCCUGGAGUAUUUCCUCAAUAGAUUUACCACUUAUACUAGCAAUGUUUUGCAACUCUGCCAGAUACCCCUUAGCGGCACUGUCACUAGCAACAUGAGGGUAGACGCAACCUAAAGCACGCACAAUAAAAGUGGUACCUGGGGUUCGCAUACUAACAACUGUUAGAGGCAACAGGGGCAUCAAUGUUUUCAUUGCAGAGCUGCAGGUAAACUCUAUGAUAGCAUGAUGAUGGAACUCAGAGUUCGGGUCAUCAAUGAGAAGAUUUCGACUAAUACUGCCAUAUCUCAAAAGCCAUGACUCUAAGUCUGUGUCUGCCUCUGUCAGUGUCAAACCGCCAACAAUAACUGCGUUUGAGAUGUUUACAUCCUCUUUCUCAAUGAUAUCCAUGAUGUUAAAGUUCUGUUCAAUAUGUUAUCUUUCUAGUGAACUCAGCUGCUCUAAUCAGCCACUGCUGUUGCAAUCUCUCUCCUGGCUGGCUCGCCACUUUCUGUAACACGUCACACCCAAAUAUCUUGCAAGUUAUUUUAUCAAUGGACCAGUAAGUUCAGCAUUCUAGGUUCGUCCGAGAAGAGAGAUGUGCGACAGCAGUGAACCACUCAGAUACAGGGGUUGAGACUUAUGGCAAUAUCACUCGUCAAGGAAUGUUCACAACCUCCAACCAAUGGGCGGCUCGCCAGUCCAAACUCCACCGUUAUGUGCACAGGAGAGAGUUGAGACAGUUCACAAUCCAGGAAAAAGUUCACACUUCACUUGAUUCGUAUCCAGAACAGGCCACAUGCAGUAGAUGAACAUCAAACAGGACAUCACAAGGAAACAAACAAGGAGAGGAAAA